rnacentral:rRNA from 1 species
GACGUAGGGCGCGAGCGUUGUCCGGAAUUAUUGGGCGUAAAGAGCUCGUAGGCGGUCUGUCGCGUCUGCUGUGAAAACUCAGGGCUUAACCCUGAGCUUGCAGUGGGUACGGGCAGACUAGAGUGCGGUAGGGGAGACUGGAAUUCCUGGUGUAGCGGUGAAAUGCGCAGAUAUCAGGAGGAACACCGGUGGCGAAGGCGGGUCUCUGGGCAGUAACUGACGCUGGAGGAGCGAAAGCGUGGGGAGCAAACAGG